rnacentral:rRNA from 1 species
AGGGAUUGCCCUAGUACGGCGAGUGAAGCGGCAACAGCUCAAAUUUGAAAUCUGGCUCUCUUUGAGGGUCCGAGUUGUAAUUUGCAGAGGAUGCUUUGGCAUUGGCGGCGGUCUAAGUUCCUUGGAACAGGACAUCGCAGAGGGUGAGAAUCCCGUACGUGGGCGCCUGCCUUUGCCGUGUAAAGCUCCUUCGACGAGUCGAGUUGUUUGGGAAUGCAGCUCUAAAUGGGAGGUAAAUUUCUUCUAAAGCUAAAUACCGGCCAGAGACCGAUAGCGCACAAGUAGAGUGAUCGAAAGAUGAAAAGUACUUUGGAAAGAGAGUCAAAAAGCACGUGAAAUUGUUGAAAGGGAAGCGCUUGCAGCCAGACUUGCCCGCAGUUGCUCACCUAGGCUUUGGCCUGGGGCACUCUUCUGCGGGCAGGCCAGCAUCAGUUUGGGCGGUUGGAUAAAGGCCUCUGUCACGUAUCUCCCUUCGGGGUGACCUUAUAGGGGAGGCGCAAUGCAACCAGCCCGGACUGAGGUCCGCGCAUCUGCUAGGAUGCUGGCGUAAUGGCUGUAAGCGGCCCGUCUUGAAACACGGACCAAGGAGUCUAACAUCUAUGCGAGUGUUUGGGUGUCAAGCCCGGGCGCGCAAUGAAAGUGAACGGAGGUGGGAACCCUUUGGGUGCACCAUCGACCGAUCCUGAUGUCUUCGGAUGGAUUUGAGUAAGAGCAUAGCUGUUGGGACCCGAAAGAUGGUGAACUAUGCUUGAAUAGGGUGAAGCCAGAGGAAACUCUGGUGGAGGCUCGCAGCGGUUCUGACGUGCAAAUCGAUCGUCAAAUUUGGGCAUAGGGGCGAAAGACUAAUCGAACC